rnacentral:rRNA from 1 species
GGGUGAGUAACACGUGGAUAACCUACCUAUAAGACUGGGAUAACUUCGGGAAACCAGAGCUAAUACCGGAUAAUAUUUUGAACCGCAUGGUUCAAAAGUGAAAGACGGUCUUGCUGUCACUUAUAGAUGGAUCCGCGCUGCAUUAGCUAGUUGGUAAGGUAACGGCUUACCAAGGCAACGAUGCAUAGCCGACCUGAGAGGGUGAUCGGCCACACUGGAACUGAGACACGGUCCAG